UGCAACUAUCACUUCCAAAAAUGAAAAAAAGAAAGACAGCACAAUUAUCAUGAGCAGGUCGUUAGUGAAGAUAAAAAUCACAGAAAAAUUGUGAAAAUGUCAAAGUCUUGAGGAGGAGUAGAGAGCGGCUCAACAGAUACUGUGCAGCUGUCAGGAUACCGCGGAAGUGUUGACGCUGAAAAUAUUUGACUCAAGCUCUUCCUGCGAACAAGGCUUAUAAGUUUCUAGCUGGCAAUGAAAUUGUGAAACGAGUUUAAGGACAAGGAGCUGAGUCAAGUAAAUGAAAUGGCAAGGAACUGGAUUUUGAGUAGCUUGCUGUUAUACAAAACAAGUAAAAAGAGAAGCUCUUCUAUGAGAACUGCGUCACCUAUAAAACUGCAUUUUAUCAGAAUCAACAACAAAAACACACAAUCACAUCAGCAAAUAACCUCUGAAUUUUUUAAAAUAACAGAUGAAAGGUUCAGACAGCAGCCUUUUAUGACUGACUUCAGUAAACUCAGAUCUGCUAUUAUUUCCUCAAAGUUACCUAAUACAUGCUGUUCUGUUCCUACUGUUGUUUGCAUUAUCUUCUCCUAGUAGAGCGUUUCCAAAGAACCACGGUGGACUUACAACUAACUCAACUCAGUCCCAAUCUGAUAGCCCAGUCUUAGCAGAGAUACUGACCUACUUUUUCCUGUGAUUUCUGGGCCUGGCCUGAUAAUUUUACUUAGCACAGUGUUCUGGACAACCAAUAUCAAUCAACUGAAGUUGGCAGGGGAUGAAACUGGUUGCCAUCCCACUAAACUUCUGCAGGUAUGUACACUGACUAACCUUAUGCUAUUCUUGAUGUCUCUAAUGGCUCCCUCUUUAUUCUGAGCUUUCCAUCUGUUCUGAAGACUGCCCUUCUAUUUGUUUAUCUGCUCCUGAAGCAAUUUCCCCAUCCAACACCUGACAGUCGGGGGUUAGAGCCAGAACCAAGGGUAUGUACUGGUUGCACUAGGCCUUACGAUCACAUACCCACUGGCUCUGUCCAUAUGGACGCUUCAGAGGAGAAAAUGCUGCAAGUUAAAGAAGUUAAAACACUACAUUGUUUGCUUAAAAUACAAAGUUCCUUUUGGUCUUUUCCUUAAUAAAUACGAAAAAUCACUAAUAGUAUCUUCUUAGUAGUCUUCAAGUAGUAAAAGAUGUUUAUUAAAAUACUCCUUGGUUAAAUCUUCUCAGGCUAUAUCAAGCUUAUAUAAGCUAAACUUUUCCUUUAGUUUCCAAUUCUUCAAUCAAUUUUAUUGUUCUUAGUUGAACUCUUUUCAAGCUCUACACAUUCCUUUAAAGUUGUAUAGUUCAUAACUGAGCAAAGUCCUCUAGUAAAUAACACAUUAGUAUAAGAGCAUUAGGAAGAAAAUCUAUGUUUUCUUCUAUAUAAACUUUUUAUUGAAGUGUUACGUAUAUAAAAAUGUUAUAGAAAUUAUAACUGGACAGCUCUACGAAUAUUUAUAGAGUAAAUACACGUGUCAUUGGCACCCAUAUCAAGACACAGAACUCCCAAAGCUCCUUUUUCUGCCUUCUAAUCACUUCCCUGCACCCAGGGAGACCACCAUCCUAAUGUCUAAUGUUAUUUAUAUCUAUUUGUUGUUGUUGUUGUUGUUGAG
rnacentral:lncRNA from 1 species